GAGGGCAUAGCUCAGUGGUAGAGCACAUGCUCAGCAUGCAGAGAGUCCUGGGUUCAAUCCCCAGCACUUCCA
rnacentral:tRNA from 1 species